rnacentral:lncRNA from 1 species
ACUAAAUCCCAGCCCUUGGGGUCAGAAGCUCCAGAGAGAGGUGGCCUAAACCCCUGCAUAUUCUGCCUAGGACUGGGUCCUGGCUGGGGACAGGGGAGAGGGGAGAGGAGAAGGGGACUUUUUGUCACAGCUCAAGGGGUGCAGUUGAAACCUCAUCAACCUCCAAGCCUUUGCCAGUAUGACAUUAUUUUCACCAUUUUCCCAAAUCCCACUUUUCCUGAGACUCUCUUCUCCCAUCCUCUCCAUCUAUCUUGCCUUUUCUGCCAGGGUUGCUCUCCUUCAAAAACAAAUAGUUCUGCCUCUGCCCUGGAAUGCCUCUGGAAGCCAGGAACUGUUAUCUCCCUGGACAACACUCCAGCCAGUGCUUGGAGUGUGAUUUACAUUAUUGACCAUAAGUCACAGAAGGAGAAACCUCCACUGAGCAGAGUGGCAGGGCCAUGCUGGAUAGGCAGCCAGGAGCAGCUCAGGGGGUCUCCUCCAGAGGGGCCCCCACGAUGGGGGCAGGGAGGGUCCCCUUCCAGGAGCAACAAGGGGUCUCCCCACCCCAGGUCCCCACAAUGGGGCUGGGGAGAGAUCUCCUCCCCCAGGACCCCAGGAUGGUACAGUGAAGAGGCCACUGCACCCCGUUCCUGGCUGUGUGGGCUGGUGUGUGAUUGUGGCAGCCAGGAGCUUGAAAGGAGACGCUGGGUUCUUCUGGGAUUUGUUGCUAGGAUUGCAGGCUUCAGGCCUGACUCACCCAGCAGGGCUGGGUGCAAGCCAAGGGGCCACAGAAAGACUCUGGGGUCAUACACGCGGCCGUUGGCUAUGCCAGCUCAGCCUGCUGGGGACCAGCCAGGGCUUGCUGGGCAGGGGGAGUGUGGCCCAGGGAGUCAAGACCUUUAUGCAAUUACAGAGGCUUUUUCUUUACUGGAGCAAGAAGACAUUCCUCUUCAGAGAACGGAUUACAAAGCAAAUUGUUCCUGCCCCUCUUCAAAGGCCAGCGAGGUCAGGAAACUGCACUGUCCCUCUCCAAAAAGUUUAAAAAUGCAGGCAGGUUUGUCUGCUUUAGACAUUUUGGUGUAA